rnacentral:rRNA from 1 species
GACGAACGCUGGCGGCGUGCUUAACACAUGCAAGUCGAACGGAAAGGCCCUGCUUUUGUGGGGUGCUCGAGUGGCGAACGGGUGAGUAACACGUGAGUAACCUGCCCUUGACUUUGGGAUAACUUCAGGAAACUGGGGCUAAUACCGGAUAGGAGCUCCUGCUGCAUGGUGGGGGUUGGAAAGUUUCGGCGGUUGGGGAUGGACUCGCGGCUUAUCAGCUUGUUGGUGGGGUAGUGGCUUACCAAGGCUUUGACGGGUAGCCGGCCUGAGAGGGUGACCGGCCACAUUGGGACUGAGAUACGGCGCAGAAUCCUACGGGAGGCAGCAGUGGGGAAUAUGGCACAAUGGGCGGAAGCCUGAUGCAGCAACGCCGCGUGCGGGAUGACGGCCUUCGGGUUGUAAACCGCUUUCGCCUGUGACGAAGCGUGAGUGACGGUAAUGGGUAAAGAAGCACCGGCUAACUACGUG